rnacentral:rRNA from 1 species
GAUGAACGCUAGCGGCAGGCUUAAUACAUGCAAGUCGAGGGGUAACACGGGUAGCAAUACCUGGUGACGACCGGCAAACGGGUGUGGAACACGUACAGAACCUUCCUUUAAGUGGGGGAGUAGCCCGGACGAAAUACCGGAUUAAUACCCCACUAGUAAUAUUGGGUGGCAUCACUUGAUAUUUAAAGUAUUUAUUGCUUAGAGAUGGCUGUGCGGCUGAUUAGGUAGUUGGUGUAGG